CUUAACAGAUGGGCCGCUGGAGAUACUACAAAGCUAGGGAGUGGGAGAGGCAGACGGUAUUCAGUGGGUAGGGGUAAAAUCCUCUGAUCCAUUGAGGACCACCAGUGGCGAAGGCGGUCUGCCAGAACACGUUCGACGGUGAGGGAUGAAAGCUGGGGGAGCAAACCGGAUUAGAUACCCGGGUAGUCCCAGCUGUAAACGAUGCAAACUCGGUGAUGCAUUGGCUUAUUGCCAAUGCAGUGCCGCAGGGAAGCCGUUAAGUUUGCCGCCUGGGAAGUACGGACGCAAGUCUGAAACUUAAAGGAAUUGGCGGGGGAGCACCACAAGGGGUGAAGCCUGCGGUUCAAUUGGAGUCAACGCCGGG
rnacentral:rRNA from 1 species